UACAGAGGGCUCAAGCGUUGUUCGGAUUCAUUGGGCGUAAAGGGUGCGUAGGCGGCGCUGUAAGUCGGGCGUGAAAUUUCGGAGCUUAACUCCGAAACUGCAUUCGAUACUGCGUUGCUUGAGGACUGGAGAGGAGACUGGAAUUCAUGGUGUAGCAGUGAAAUGCGUAGAGAUCAUGAGGAAGACCAGUGGCGAAGGCAGGUCUCUGGGCUGACACUGACGCUCAUGCACGAAAGCGUGGGGAGCAAACAGG
rnacentral:rRNA from 1 species